rnacentral:ncRNA from 1 species
GUCGUGGCGACGCGGAAUCUGAAGGAAGCUGGCGGCAAAGCCUUGGUCCGAGGUACACGAAUCACAUACGAGGUUGUUCUGUUUGGACGAGAUUACAAAAUAAAUCAAAAUCCUAAAUAUCCACGGAAAUCAGAGCAAUAAAUGUGACGGAUAGAUGAGGUGAAAGUGGGCGGA